rnacentral:sRNA from 1 species
GAAGAGUACUGUGAUUUUUUUCCCUCAAUUUAUGUUUGGAUCCUGGUAAAUUUUUGUUCCCUUGCUUUGUUAGUUUUUAAUUUUAUUAUUUUCAAAACUAUUAAAAGUAAUGCAAAUUAAGGGUUUUGACUUACAUUCCUUAGGACAUGAAUGGCAAGAUGAAUUUUCUCAUAUUAUGGCAAUGACAGAUCCAGCCUUUGGGUCUUCGGGAAGACCAUUGUUGGUUUUAUCUUGUAUUUCUCAAGGGGAUGUAAAAAGAAUGCCCUGUUUUUAUUUGGCUCAUGAGCUGCAUCUGAAUCUUCUAAAUCACCCAUGGCUGGUCCAGGAUACAGAGGCUGAAACUCUGACUGGUUUUUUGAAUGGCAUUGAGUGGAUUCUUGAAGAAGUGGAAUCUAAGCAUUCAAGAUGAUUCUCUUUUCAGAUCUUGGGAACUGAAACCAUUUGAAAUUUAUUACUAAGGUCAUGAUGUGAAUAUUUGCUCGGUCAGCCCACCUUGUCCUGCCUUUUUGCAGAUGAGCUUUAAUUUGGACAGCUAUAACUGCUGUGUUUUUUAUAUUAUUUUUACUCUUUACCAUAAAUCAAUUACAAGAAAAGAGUUUCAGUCCUAGUAUUUAGCCCCAAAAUGAACCUUUAAACAUUUUUUUGGUAAUUUUUAUAUUUUCUGUCUUUUAAAAAAUAUUAAAUUCUGGAAAAAACAA